GUGGAUUAGAUACCCGGGUAGUCCACGCCGUAAACGAUGGGCACUAGGUGUGGGAGGUGUCGACUCCUCCCGUGCCGGAGCUAACGCAUUAAGUGCCCCGCCUGGGGAGUACGGCCGCAAGGCUAAAACUCAAAGGAAUUGACGGGGGCCCGCACAAGCAGCGGAGCAUGUGGUUUAAUUCGACGCAACGCGAAGAACCUUACCUGGGUUUGACAUGUUCCUGACCGCCCUGGAAACAGGGCUUCCCUCACGGGCAGGAUCACAGGUGGUGCACGGUCGUCGACAACU
rnacentral:rRNA from 1 species